UUUAUGAAAGAUGAACCAUUCUACAUUGUAAUUUGUGAUAUUAAUUUUAUUAAAUUAAUAACCAAAUUGUAUAGUUUUAAGAAGACUCAAAGGUUGUUUUUAUCGAUAAACUGUCGAUAAUAUCCGUGGGUCUGUGUUUCAGUUCAAUGAAGAAACAAGUUUGACAAUUAAAAGUUUUAAUUCUUCAAAUUAAACUAAUGAUUUUGAAAUUGACAAACAGGAAAUAACAAUCAACAUUGGCAACUUUGUGGGACAAUCUUUAACAGUUGAUAUGCUGUUCUUGCUCAAAUAGACCUUGUGGUGAAUGUGUGAAGAUUGAACAUGAGGUGAGAUGAAGGCAUGUGGGUGUGCGUUUGAUUUUGCUUCAGGAAGAAACAGGUGUCUGAGUGAAGUGAUGGUUUGGAUAAACUUAGGUCUUUUUGAAAAACUGCAUCAAACGCUAACUACCGUGUUCUGCCUCACCGAAAAUCGGACCCCCUUUACGAUCCGGGACGCCAGAGGAUGUUGAUUUUCAUCCAGGUGACACCAGCGGCUGGCAGAGGAGACGUAGGUGUCCUGCGAGCCCGGUCCAGAGAUGCCCGCGGUACACGUCGAUGGAAAAACGUUUGCAGAUGUGUUUUGUUAAGUUUAGUUCACUCAGAAAUCAAAAGACUCGGUAUGAGUCUGCGUUAGAAGUUGCGAUUCAGCUAUUCUGUCUGGCUGACAGGAACAGCGUGGGGGGAACGAGCCGACCGGCUCUGUCCCCCCUUUGGUUUCUUCAGGUCCUCUCUCUUUCGUUGUCAAGCACGAACUGAAUCAUUAACUGAAACUUACCAAAAGCCUUUCUCUUCUCAAAGCAAAACGUGUACGUCAGCAAAUGUGUUUUGGAGUUUACUGUGAGAAUCUGUGUGGGUGUGUUUGAGUGUGUGUGUGCUUGAGUGUGUGUGAAGGUCGUUAACAAACAUCCUCAAACAUUAUUUAAUUAAGUAUGGAUUCAUUAAUCCAUUAUAAUUACCCAAAGCAUAAGAAUCAUUCAUUUGAUUAAAACACAUUUAUAAUGAGCAAAAUGAUAAUGAUUAUUAUUUAACAUUAAAAUCAAGAAAGAAAGUUUAAGACUUGUUAUGACUACAUUUCCUGGGAACACAUCUUCUGGCAGACUGCAGGUGGCAGAUGUUAUGGUUUCCAGCAGACUCUUGCAGACUUCAUGUCUGCAAAGGUCUCAAUCUGUGGGUGAAAGUUCUCAGCGACCCAGCUAUUGACCCAGCCGAGUCAAAUGACCUUUUGCACAGAAAACCCAUAUUUCCUCACAUUACAUAUAUUAUCUGACUUUAUAAACUCCCAACAACAAUGUGCUUCUAUUUUUUUUUUUUCAGGCUAAAUCUACCCAAGACACUGGCUGUCAGACUGAUUUAGCUGCAAGAAUGUACUUGUCCAGGCUGAUGUGAAGCCUUCCCUGUAGCAAAGCCAGCCAGAAUGGAGUUCACAGCCGCAGUGUGUCUGGUGACCCACAGGGACCAUGAUGAAAAUUCAUCUUCCAGAAGGUCCCAGAGCGUCCAGACCCCCUGAAAAGACCAAGAUGUAAGGUGUCUGCUGUUGAUUCCAGCUUCCACCUCAGUGACAGUGCAAGCUCAGUGAACUGUUCAAGGACACUCAGCAAAAUAUGGACUCUACACCAUGAGGCAGGCACACGUUAAUAUUCUAUAAGAGCACAUAAGCAUGAGGAUGUCCUCACACACCUGUAACCUAUCAGCUCAUCUGGCAGAAUAGAGAGAGAAGAGACAACACCACAUCUCCUGUUCCUGGAAAGCCUUCAGCCAUCCUUCGAUGACUGAGAACCUCCAUCAGCUCUGUCUCCUGUCUGCCUACAAUUAUUAUAAUAAAUAUUGUGUUUGACAAGUUUUUUGUGCUGCCAAAUAUCUAAUUUAGAUUCCAGUUUUGAUAUUUUAAUGGAUAUUUAUAAAUUACAUUGAUUAUCACAUUUUUGUUGCAUGCUUAACUAGCUCUAUUGUGAUGAAUUAAACUAGCACCUCACUGUUAAAAGCUCGUUUUAAUUUCAAGCAUGUUUAAGUAUUUAUGGACAUGAACAAAAACAGGAAAUAUAUAAAUUGAGAUUUAUUUAAUUAAUAUAACAAAUAAGGGGGAAAGAGUCAUUGAAAGGCACAUUCUUCUGGAA